UGAUGAGGUAGAGGUCGCGGUUUGGAAGAGUACCGCCGGGGUAAGUUAGAAGCAGCUGAGGAUCCCGGAAGGAAAGGGCAAACCGCCGAAGUGUGGCUCCCAAGCUUCAAAGGGGGCGAUGCUGGGGCUGUUCCCGAAAGGGGCAGAACUGUCACGGCCAUUUGUCGCCAUAAAUGCCGUGUUGUGCUAUCUUCAUG
rnacentral:ncRNA from 1 species